rnacentral:lncRNA from 1 species
GGAGAAUUGCUUGAACCCAAGAGGCAGAGGUUGUUGUGAGCUGAGAUCCUGCCACUGCACUCCAGCCUGGCUGACAGAGUUAGACUCCAUGUCAAGAAAAAUUAAAAAAAUUAAAAACUUGCAUCAUAUUUAAAACUCUUAACCCUGUACACACUGAGUUUGCAACCAGUAUUCCCUCCCUUUGCUUCUUUCAAGGGUGUUUAGCUUAUAAAUGGCAACACAGCAAACCAUUUUACAUAUAAGAACAUGCAGAGCAAUUCUGACACUAAGUGAGUCUGUGUCUCAGUGACUGAUUAACCCUGAUUGAUUUGAUUGAUUAACCCUUAGUAACUUUACAUAACAGCAUCUUAUCUUGCUGAGACUGAGAGAAGUUUCUUGCAUCAUCUCAUAAUCUUAAGAGAGAUGGUAUUGGCAGAUCACAGUUCAAAACCAGUCUUCCCACAGACCUCCAAAACCUUUGUCUAGGAGAACAUGGGAAGGUACACAUACAGCCACAUCAAAUCUCAGUGGGGAUAAAGCUGGCAUGGACACUGCGGGGGCCUGCACACUGCUACCCCAGUGGGGCCUCCCAGUCAUUGAGGGAGAAGUGGGGCCGGCAUGGGGAGGGCAGAGAGAGCAAGGAGGAGGGGGAGAGGUCAUGCUCUGGAAGAUGGGUGUGUGCUCUCUUUUCCGGCUACUGUUUUCAGUGUGGUAAGCAAAUCCCUUCAGCUGAAUGCCCUGGAGAGGAAGCCCAGUGCUUCCUGUUGUCUUACCAACGCUGUAAAAUGCAAGUUAGAAAUAAAGCAAAAAGGGGGAAAGGGGAAAAAAAUGGGAAGCUCUCCUGGCUAGAUCGGAACGCCAGCCUUUAGGAGGAAACUCAGCUCACUUCUUUUCCCCGGAGAUGCAGAGGAAGAGGCACACCUCACAUGUGAGUUGUUUCUCAAAUCAAUCAGGAUUCAGAAAAUAAUCUCUCUAUAUAAAAAGGGCAUUUUUGGCCGGGCUCGGUGGCUCAAGCCUGUAACCCUUGCACUUUGGGAGGCUGAGGUGGGAGGAUCACCUGAGGUCAAGAGUUUGAGACCAGCCUGGCCAACAUGGUGAAACCCCAUCUCUACUAAAAACACAAAAAUCAGCCGAGUGUGGUGGUGCACACCUGUGGUCCCAGCUACUCGGGAGGCUGAGGCAGGAUAAUCGCUGGAACUCGGGAGGCAGAGGUUGUAGUGAUCAGAGAUCGCACCACUGCACUCCAGCCUGAGUGACAGAGCAAGAUUCUGUCUCAAAAAAAAAAAAAAAAAAAAGAAAGAAAGAAAGAAAAAGAAAAAGAAAAGACAAGAAAAACAGCAGAAUAAACAACAGAGUUGAAAGUCCUAAAAGGAUGACUAAGGAGAUAUGUGUAUGAGAUACAGCCAAAGAAAUACACCCACCCCCUGUUUAAUGCCCUCAAAAUCCUUCCAUUCUGUGAGAAUCUACCCCAAGGGUUUGUAGUGUUGGAAAGAAUCAUUUAAAUAUCAGAUUUUGUUUGAUUGCUUUGCUGCUCUGAGCAUCUUAGCUGCCUAUGAGAUACUUCAUGAGAUGUAGCAGAAACAUCCUGGCCCCCAGGGUAGAGUACACAGGCAGUCCUGACAGGUCACCCGGUAUUCAUAUACUUAUUUAUUUAUAUCACCAUCAUUAAUAUACAUACAUUCAUUUAUUUUUAACAUUACCAUACAGCUUACCACUUACGAAAAUAGCCUCUCUUUGGCUGGCAUUUCACUGACAAACUUUUUUCUUCUAUUUUCAAAAAGCCAAUAUAGCUCCAUUCAAAUUUUAUUUGGCCAUUUGCCUUCCCCACACCCCCUUCUUAGAUAAUGUCUUUGAGAAAUCUGUGCGAAGGACUGUGUUUAAACCGUCUUCUGCUAAUGACACCUCUCCUGAAAUUUUCAGAUUAUACAAGAAACUUCUCUUAAAAGUUUCAAGCGAACCCUGACUUUCUUGAUCUAGAUUUCUUGAACAAUAUCAUCUUCCUCUACUGCCUGUGUUUCACUUUGUAGAACAUCCUUCCUCUGAAAGAGCGAUAACAACAACAAAAAUUCCACUUUGAUCGUAACAGUCGAUUAGAAAAGGAAAUGCCCUUCAAUUCUCUAACUUUUCAAAAAUGUCACUGCACUCGGCCCCAAAUACUUUUUUUUAAAAGUUACGUUUAAAAAUAAAAGAACUCUUUGCAUAACGCAUGUGUUCACAAAUAAGAAAGUGGCAUAUAUUAAUUCAGUGGCUGAAAUAUAAUUCUGCGUAUGAAAGUACAAAGUCUUUUUUAAAAUGUGCUUUAUUUACUUUUGAUUGCUAGUGCUUCUACUGAGGCUCUCAUGGUGGGCGCAGUUCUGCAGCUAUUCACCUUUCUAUGGGUAUUUUGGGUCUCCCACUCUCCUCCCUGUCAACCCUGCUCCAGCACCCAGCAGGUAGGACAUCCUUGUUCAUACUUUCAAAGUUUAUUUAGACCAACAGUGAAAUACUUUAACAACUCAGUUUUUUUUUCUUUCGAUGGCUAUUAACUCUAGUAGUCUCCUCUUUUUGGCAUUUAAAAUCUUAUAAAUAGGCACAAUUUGUUUCUCAG